rnacentral:rRNA from 1 species
AUUGAACUCUGGAGGCAGGCCUAACACAUGCAAGUCGAGCGGAGCGGGUGACGGGGGAGUAUUGCCUAGGUAUCUGCCUGGUGGUGGGGGAUACCUUCCGGAAACGGGCGAUCCUGCCGCAUACUCUCAGUUGUGGCUAGGUGGGCUUAGCUAGUUGGUGGGGUAAAGGCCUACCAGGUCGACGACCCGAAACUGGUCUGAGAGGAUGAUCAGUCACCCUGGAACUGAGACACGGUCCUGACUCCUACGGGAGUCAGCAGUGGGGAAUAGUGGACAAUGGGCGAAAGCCUGAUCCAGCCAUGCCGCGUGUGUGAAGAAGGUCUUCGGAUGGUAAAGCACUUUAAGUUGGGAGGCGUUACCAACAGAAUAAGCACCGGCUAACGUCGUGCCAGCAGCCGCGGUAAUAC